rnacentral:lncRNA from 1 species
CUGAUAGAGCGUGUCUGCACAUUACGGUAUAAAUAACUUCACUGGUACAUUCAUUACCACCUCUGACUAGACUUUGCCUCGCAAUCUCACCGUGCACACAGCAAUCACACCGCACACACAGCUAAUGACAACCACAGCUAAUGGUAAACCGUGUCAAAGCCUCGGCUUGAUCGGCAGGAACCCUUUACACCUUCCUGUGAAGAGAAGGUGAUGAGCUUGAGAACAAGUUCACUUGAAAGCACCAUAAACCCAGAAACUUGCCCACAAAGGACCACCGUGCCACCUUCCUGUACAAGUGAGCACAGCACAACAAGUGACAUGGUAAGGGGCCAAUGAUCCAGGCAUUAGCAGUAGCAGCAGCAGCAGCAGCUGUGGUUUGUGAGAGGAGAGCAUCUGAUGUUGGAGACUGAUCUGGCUGGCUGGCUAGCUGGCUGACUGCUAAGCUGCCAUCACAACAAAGUCCCAGAGGACAUACUUAGCCACUCUUCUCAGAUCCACCAUGAAGACAAAGCAACUCCCAUCUCUGUGUCGCUGGCUGGAUGCAGCACAGCCAGAAAUGAAAGUGUGGCUACAGCGCCAUCUGUUGGUCACAUACACUAGCACACAUACAGUACUAUGCCCUGAGUUGAAUACUAGAGGUGAAAAUAAAAACUUCCAUUUGGAGACUAGGUUUGCUAGAUUGAAUUAAAUGGAGAUAGCCAUUAUUCAUGGGAAGAAUCUCUGAGUGAAUGUGAUACAAUAUAGUACGUGCUUGGAAAGUGUGUCCUUGAGUGAUAACUUCAACACUACAUUCUUUACAAAGAAGAAAAAAACAUCUCAAAAAGAGAAUCCAUGCAAUUUUUCUAUCAAAUGAAAAUGUGAUAAGUUUGUGUGAUUUCAUUAUGACCAUGCCGGCCUAGUGAAAGGGUUUCAGCUGAAAGGAGAGGUUAAACUGCCUGCUAUUGAAAACACAUAGUCCUUGAGAAACAACCAGGAAGGCUUGAGCACACACUCAUGUACACACACACACACACACACACACACACACACACACACACACACACACACACACACACACACACACACACACACACACACACACACACACACACACACACACACACACACACACACACACACACCCCAUCAGAGGGCUUCUAUUGUGGUUUAGGCUUAUGGCAUUUAGGAGAGCUGUGAUCGCAGCACAGAGAGCACAGCAGACCACGGAUCACUUCAUCACAAUUAACUCAUUGUGUCUGCCACUUGUAAUGGCUCUAGCCCCACGGGAGAGGAGAGAGGGGUCAGGUGUGAUCAUGCUGACAGAGAGGGGUCAGGUGUGAUCAUGCUGACAGAGGGGGGUCAGGUGUGAUCAUGCUGACAGAGAGGGGUCGGGUGUGAUCAUGCUGACAGAGAGGGGUCAGGUGUGAUCAUGCUGACAGAGGGGUCUGUUCUGCUGUAUCCCUGCCCACUGGGCUCCAUCACCACAAGAAAGGAGGGAAGGUGCCCCUGCCCACUGGAGUCUGUUCUCAACACACCUAUAUCUACUCUCGCAGUCUGGAGUUAGGAUUAGAAAUAUGCUCCAUUUAAUGUAAAUAAUCAUUUGAAAUUGUUCUAAUGUGUCAAUUAAUUGAAUAAAUACAGCACAAAACAUGAACCUUAUCUCUGAUAUUAAUGCCUUAACACAUAAAACAACUAGGUGAGAUUCAGAUGUCCAUCAUGAUCCCUUACGGAUAGUCAGUAAUACAACUGUCUGGACUUCAGCACUAGAUUGGAACAGUUUGUCCAGCUCUCAUCUAUCACGCUGACAGAGCAUCCAGUAUUUCCCACAUCUACAUUAAUCACUGGUCUGCCUAUGAGCUCUGAAGGGUAUAUUCUCCGGCAAAAGCCCUCACUCUCUCUCCGCUGAAUACAUACAGACAUGCACGCUCGCUUGUAGGCACGCACACGCGCAUACCACACACUCACACACACACAGACAGAGGUGGGAAAGGCCACACUCUCCAUUGAAUUCCUCUGAGAGAGCAGGACUGAUGCCUCACUGCCGAGCAUAAUGGCAUGCCCUGCCCUCUGCUGCCUACCAGCCAUAUAGAUUCCUUCAGUCUGUGUGUGUAUUCAUGUGUGUGUAACUAAUAUACACUGAGUGUACAAAACAUUUGGAACACCUUCUGAAUAUUGAGUUGCACCCGCCUUUGCCCUCAGAACAGCCUCAAUUAGGCUAAUUUUGGCUCCAAUGCUUCCCACAGUUGUGUCAAUUUGGAUGUCCUUUGGGUGGUGGACCAUUCUUGAUACACAAGGGAAACUGUGGAGUGUGAAAAGCCCAGCAGUGUUGUAGUUCUUAACACACUUAAACUGGUCCGCCUGGCACCUACUACCAUACCCCGUUCAAAGGCACUUACAUCUUUUGUCUUGCCCAUUCACCCUCUGAAUGGCACAAUCCCUGUCUCAAUCGUCUCAAGGCUUAAAAAUACUUCUUUAACAUGUCUCCUCCCCUUCAUUUACACUGGUUGAUGUGGAUUUAACAAGUGACAUCAAUAAGGGAUCAUAGCUUUUACAUGGAUUCACCUGGUCAGUCUAUGUCAUGGAAAGAGCAGGUGUUCCUCCAUCCUUUAAAUCUUUGCAAAUAGAAUGAUUUACUCUCUUCUCAGGAUUCACAUUUAUGUUACUGUCUCCCUUGUGUGGUUAUUCCAGUC